GUAGUCGAUGGGAAACAGGUUAAUAUUCCUGUACUUGGUGUUACUGCGAAGGGGGGACGGAGAAGGCUAUGUUGGCCGGGCGACGGUUGUCCCGGUUUAAGCGUGUAGGCUGGUUUUCCAGGCAAAUCCGGAAAACCAAGGCUGAGGCGUGAUGACGAGGCACUACGGUGCUGAAGUGACAAAUGCCCUGCUUCCAGGAAAAGCCUCUAAGCAUCAGGUAACAUCAAAUCGUACCCCAAACCGACACAGGUGGUCAGGUAGAGAAUACCAAGGCGCUUGAGAGAACUCGGGUGAAGGAACUAGGCAAAAUGGUGCCGUAACUUCGGGAGAAGGCACGCUGAUAUGUAGGUGAAGCGACUUGCUCGUGGAGCUGAAAUCAGUCGAAGAUACCAGCUGGCUGCAACUGUUUAUUAAAAACACAGCACUGUGCAAACACGAAAGUGGACGUAUACGGUGUGACGCCUGCCCGGUGCCGGAAGGUUAAUUGAUGGGGUUAGCGGUAACGCGAAGCUCUUGAUCGAAGCCCCGGUAAACGGCGGCCGUAACUAUAACGGUCCUAAGGUAGCGAAAUUCCUUGUCGGGUAAGUUCCGACCUGCACGAAUGGCGUAAUGAUGGCCAGGCUGUCUCCACCCGAGACUCAGUGAAAUUGAACUCGCUGUGAAGAUGCAGUGUACCCGCGGCAAGACGGAAAGACCCCGUGAACCUUUACUAUAGCUUGACACUGAACAUUGAGCCUUGAUGUGUAGGAUAGGUGGGAGGCUUUGAAGUGUGGACGCCAGUCUGCAUGGAGCCGACCUUGAAAUACCACCCUUUAAUGUUUGAUGUUCUAACGUUGGCCCGUAAUCCGGGUUGCGGACAGUGUCUGGUGGGUAGUUUGACUGGGGCGGUCUCCUCCUAAAGAGUAACGGAGGAGCACGAAGGUUGGCUAAUCCUGGUCGGACAUCAGGAGGUUAGUGCAAUGGCAUAAGCCAGCUUGACUGCGAGCGUGACGGCGCGAGCAGGUGCGAAAGCAGGUCAUAGUGAUCCGGUGGUUCUGAAUGGAAGGGCCAUCGCUCAACGGAUAAAAGGUACUCCGGGGAUAACAGGCUGAUACCGCCCAAGAGUUCAUAUCGACGGCGGUGUUUGGCACCUCGAUGUCGGCUCAUCACAUCCUGGGGCUGAAGUAGGUCCCAAGGGUAUGGCUGUUCGCCAUUUAAAGUGGUACGCGAGCUGGGUUUAGAACGUCGUGAGACAGUUCGGUCCCUAUCUGCCGUGGGCGCUGGAGAACUGAGGGGGGCUGCUCCUAGUACGAGAGGACCGGAGUGGACGCAUCACUGGUGUUCGGGUUGUCAUGCCAAUGGCACUGCCCGGUAGCUAAAUGCGGAAGAGAUAAGUGCUGAAAGCAUCUAAGCACGAAACUUGCCCCGAGAUGAGUUCUCCCUGAGACUUAGAGUCUCCUGAAGGAACGUUGAAGACGACGACGUUGAUAGGCCGGGUGUGUAAGCGCAGCGAUGCGUUGAGCUAACCGGUACUAAUGAACCGUGAGGCUUAACCUUACAACGCCGAAG
rnacentral:rRNA from 1 species